rnacentral:tRNA from 6 species
CUCAGUCGGUAGAGCAGAGGACUGAAAAUC